CCUCGCAGGGGCCGGCCUCCGUCGGGGGGAUGGCCUAACGCCCCGCCCGGCUCGUCCGUGGCGGUGGGUAGGCUGCCCCCCGCGGGGGUGCCCGGCUUCUCGGGGGCCCGCAAUUCUCUCGCAGUAGGACGUCGCGACCCGCUCUGCGGCGGUCUAACGGCCGGUAGAACGUCUGGCCGGGGCCCACCUCUCGGGGUGGGUUCUCUGACAGCUCUCCGGACCCGCGGCCGUCGGUCCGGGCGGUAUGAAAUGACGUCAGCGCUGGGCCGCUCCUCGAGAGCGCCGAGCCUCCCCGCAAGCUCGGGCCGGGUCGCCGGGCCGUGCCCUCGCGGGUACGCCCUGCGCCCGCCCGUACUGUUGGCGGGUGACGGCUCCGGCCGAAGUCCAGCACGCUCGUCGGCGGCGCUUCAGAUUCGGGCACUUAUCCGACCCGUCUUGAAACACGGACCAAGGAGUCUAGCGUGUGCGCGAGUCAUUGGGUGAAAAACCUAAAGGCGUAAUGAAAGUGUCAGAGGGCGCCCCGCGCCCUCUGUGGGAGGAUGGGCUCCCGGCUCUCGGGCCGGUGCCCCGCACUCCCGGGGCGUUUCAUUCUCAUCGCGAGUCGAGACGCACCAGGAGCGCACACGCUGGUACCCGAAAGAUGGUGAACUAUGCCUGGCCAGGACGAAGCCAGGGGAAACCCUGGUGGAGGUCCGAAGCGAUUCUGACGUGCAAAUCGAUCGUCUGAGCUGGGUAUAGGGGCGAAAGACCAAUCGAACCAUCUAGUAGCUGGUUCCCUCCGAAGUUUCCCUCAGGAUAGCUGGCUCUCGGGAAGAGACGAGUCUCAUCCGGUAGAGCGAAUGAUUAGAGGUGAUGGGGUCGAAACGACUUCAACCUAUUCUCAAACUCCCAAUAGAUGAGAGCCCCGGCUUGCUUGAAAGUGAAGCCGUGGGACUCGGAUCAGAGGUGCCAAGUGGGCCAAUUUUGGUAAGCAGAACUGGCGCUGUGGGAUGAACCAAACGCAGAGUUAAGGCGCCUGAUUCGACGCUCAUCCGAAACCAUGAAAGGCGUUGGUUGCUUAAGACAGCAGGACGGUGGCCAUGGAAGUCGGAAUCCGCUAAGGAGUGUGUAACAACUCACCUGCCGAAGCAACUAGCCCUGAAAAUGGAUGGCGCUGUAGCGUCGUGCCUAUACUCUGCCGUCAACGGCAAAGCGGGCGGCCCCUUCCGGGGGCGUCGCCGUUAAGCCUUGACGAGUAGGAGGGUCGCGGCGGUGUGCGCGGAAGGGUCUGGGCGUGAGCCCGCCUGGAGCCGCCGCCGGUGCAGAUCUUGGUGGUAGUAGCAAAUACUCCAGCGAGGCCCUGGAGGACUGAUGUGGAGAAGGGUUUCUUGUGAACAGCUGUUGCACAAGAGUCAGUCGAUCCUAAGCCCUAGGAGAAAUCCGAAGCGAUGGUCUGCCGUUAAGUUUUCGUGUCUGGCGCUCCUCGCUCGCCGCUCCGGCGGCGAGCGAGGGCCUAGCACUGCGAGCUGGCACCUUCUGGGCGAAAGGGAAUCCGGUUCCUAUUCCGGAACCCGGCAGCGGAACCGCUCCAAUUCGGGCCCUCAUCCGAGGACUCGUCGGGGUGACCCGAAAUGACCCGGAGAAGCCGUAGGGAGGUCCGGGGAGAGUUGUCUCUUCUCUAUAAGCGUUCGAGUUCCCUGGAAGCCUCUAGGAGGGAGAUAGGGUUUGGAACGCGAAGAGCACCGCACUUACGGCGGUGUCCGGAUCUUCCCCUCGGACCUUGAAAAUCCGGGCGAGGGCCACGAGGAACACCGCGCCGGCUCGUACCCAUAUCCGCAGCAGGUCUCCAAGGUGAAUAGCCUCUAGUCGAUAGAAUAAUGUAGGUAAGGGAAGUCGGCAAACCCGAUCUGUAACUUCGGGAUAAGGAUUGGCUCUGAGGAUCGUGGCGCGCCGGGCUUGGUCGGGAAGUGGAGCGGUGCCAACGUGCCGGGCCUGGGCGAGGUGAAGGUCGCUCGUCGGCUGGACCCUAGCUCGGUCCCGUGCCUUGGCCACCCACGGACCUUCCUUGCUGCGAGCCUCCCGGCUGUCUAGUUUUCGGCCCAGCCGGAGGACGGGCCGGAAGGCUCUUCGGCCGCCAUAGAACGAUCAACUUAGAACUGGCACGGACCAGGGGAAUCCGACUGUCUAAUUAAAACAAAGCAUUGCGAUGGCCCCAAGGGGUGUUGACGCAAUGUGAUUUCUGCCCAGUGCUCUGAAUGUCAACGUGAAGAAAUUCAAGCGCGGGUAAACGGCGGGAGUAACUAUGACUCUCUUA
rnacentral:rRNA from 1 species